UCUAGGGUUUCAUGAGAGUAUGAGGAUGAGCUUGGUAAGACGAUGCGACGGUGCGACGGUGUUGAGGACCUAACCAUCGCCUCCAACAAUGGUGGCUAGGGUUUCUUACAGAUCUGACGUAUAAUUUUCGGAGAGUUUUGGUAAAUUGGCGACCAUACAUACGAUAUCAGUUGUAAAGUGCACAAGUAUAAUGUCUUAUCCAUGAAUAUUAGACAUGUUUGAGGGGUACACCAAAAAGAAGCUCAUUGUUACCAAGAACCAGGGAUUGGAUGUUAGUUUGAAUUUGGGUUCCUCUUCGUUGGCUGAUGGUUCGAAAUGGACGGAUUGGAUCGUGGCGGUCAUUAUAAACAGCCGAAAGUUAA